rnacentral:rRNA from 1 species
GUUAAGCGACUAAGCGUACACGGUGGAUGCCCUGGCAGUCAGAGGCGAUGAAGGGCGUGCUAAUCUGCGAUAAGCGCCGGUAAGGUGAUAUGAACCGUUAUAACCGGCGAUACCCGAAUGGGGAAACCCAGUGUGAUUCGUCACACUAUCAUUAACUGAAUCCAUAGGUUAAUGAGGCGAACCGGGGGAACUGAAACAUCUAAGUACCCCGAGGAAAAGAAAUCAACCGAGAUUCCCCCAGUAGCGGCGAGCGAACGGGGAGGAGCCCAGAGCCUGAAUCAGCAUGUGUGUUAGUGGAAGCGUCUGGAAAGGCGCGCGAUACAGGGUGACAGCCCCGUACACAAAAGCGCAUGUGCUGUGAGCUCGAUGAGUAGGGCGGGACACGUGGUAUCCUGUCUGAAUAUGGGGGGACCAUCCUCCAAGGCUAAAUACUCCUGACUGACCGAUAGUGAACCAGUACCGUGAGGGAAAGGCGAAAAGAACCCCGGCGAGGGGAGUGAAAAAGAACCUGAAACCGUGUACGUACAAGCAGUGGGAGCACCCUUUUGGGUGUGACUGCGUACCUUUUGUAUAAUGGGUCAGCGACUUAUAUUCUGUAGCAAGGUUAACCGUAUAGGGGAGCCGUAGGGAAACCGAGUCUUAACCGGGCGUUAAGUUGCAGGGUAUAGACCCGAAACCCGGUGAUCUAGCCAUGGGCAGGUUGAAGGUUGGGUAACACUAACUGGAGGACCGAACCGACUAAUGUUGAAAAAUUAGCGGAUGACCUGUGGCUGGGGGUGAAAGGCCAAUCAAACCGGGAGAUAGCUGGUUCUCCCCGAAAGCUAUUUAGGUAGCGCCUCGUGAAUUCAUCUCCGGGGGUAGAGCACUGUUUCGGCUAGGGGGCCAUCCCGGCUUACCAACCCGAUGCAAACUGCGAAUACCGGAGAAUGUUAUCACGGGAGACACACGGCGGGUGCUAACGUCCGUCGUGAAGAGGGAAACAACCCAGACCGCCAGCUAAGGUCCCAAAGUCAUGGUUAAG